rnacentral:tRNA from 1 species
UAUAGUAUAGUGUUUUAGCAUAUUGUAUUUUGGUUACAAAGGAGAUUAGUUUCUAUUAUAU